rnacentral:rRNA from 1 species
GACAGAGGGUGCAAACGUUGCUCGGAAUCACUGGGCGUAAAGGGCGUGUAGGCGGGAAUGUAAGUCGGGCGUGAAAUCCCUAGGCUCAACCUAGGAACUGCACUCGAAACUGCGUUUCUUGAGUACUGGAGAGGAAAGCGGAAUACCUGGUGUAGAGGUGAAAUUCGUAGAUAUCAGGUGGAACACCAAGCGGCGAAGGCGGCUUUCUGGACAGUAACUGACGC